rnacentral:rRNA from 1 species
AAAUUGAAGAGUUUGAUCAUGGCUCAGAUUGAACGCUGGCGGCAGGCCUAACACAUGCAAGUCGAACGGUAACAGGAAACAGCUUGCUGUUUCGCUGACGAGUGGCGGACGGGUGAGUAAUGUCUGGGAAACUGCCCGAUGGAGGGGGAUAACUACUGGAAACGGUAGCUAAUACCGCAUAACGUCGCAAGACCAAAGAGGGGGACCUUCGGGCCUCUUGCUAUCGGAUGUGCCCAGAUGGGAUUAGCUAGUAGGUGGGGUAACGGCUCACCUAGGCGACGAUCCCUAGCUGGUCUGAGAGGAUGACCAGCCACACUGGAACUGAGACACGGUCCAGACUCCUACGGGAGGCAGCAGUGGGGAAUAUUGCACAAUGGGCGCAAGCCUGAUGCAGCCAUGCCGCGUGUAUGAAGAAGGCCUUCGGGUUGUAAAGUACUUUCAGCGGGGAGGAAGGGAGUAAAGUUAAUACCUUUACUCAUUGACGUUACCCGCAGAAGAAGCACCGGCUAACUCCGUGCCAGCAGCCGCGGUAAUACGGAGGGUGCAAGCGUUAAUCGGAAUUACUGGGCG